UAAGGAAUAUUGGUCAAUGGACGCAAGUCUGAACCAGCCAUGCCGCGUGAAGGAUGAAGGUCCUCUGGAUUGUAAACUUCUUUUAUCUGGGACGAAAACGGGAUUUUUAUCUCAAUUGACGGUACCAGAGGAAUAAGCACCGGCUAACUCCGUGCCAGCAGCCGCGGUAAUACGGAGGGUGCGAGCGUUAUCCGGAUUUACUGGGUUUAAAGGGUGCGUAGGUGGGCUUAUAAGUCAGUGGUGAAAUCUCCGAGCUUAACUUGGAAACUGCCGUUGAUACUAUAGGUCUUGAAUUAUCUGGAGGUGAGCGGAAUAUGUCAUGAAGCGGUGAAAUGCUUAGAUAUGACAUAGAACACCAAUUGCGAAGGCAGCUUACUACAUAUAAAUUGACGCUGAGGCACGAAAGCGUGGGGAUCAAACA
rnacentral:rRNA from 1 species